AAUGAACGUUGGCGGCGUGGAUUAGGCAUGCAAGUCGAGCGAGAGACUUCAAAUUGAUGCUUCGGUUGAUUUUUGAAGUGGAAAGCGGCGAAAGGGAGAGUAACGAGUAGAUACGUACCCGAGGGUGCGGAAUAGCGGGGGGAAACCGCCGGUAAUGCCGCAUAAUGUCUCCGGACCAAAGAUUUAUCGCCCUUGGAGCGGUCUGCUUCCUAUUAGCUUGUUGGUGGGGUAAUGGCCUACCAAGGCUUUGAUGGGUAGCGGGCGUGAGAGCGUGGCCCGUCUCACUGGGACUGAGACACUGCCCAGACACCUACGGGUGGCUGCAGUCGAGAAUCUUCGUCAAUGGGCGAAAGCCUGAACGAGCGACGCCGCGUGCGGGAUGAAGGCCUUCGGGUUGUAAACCGCUGUCAGAGGGGAGGAAAUUUUGACCGAUCCUCAGAGGAAGCACAGGCUAAGUUCGUGCCAGCCGCCGCCGUAACAC
rnacentral:rRNA from 1 species